rnacentral:rRNA from 1 species
UACGGAGGGUGCGAGCGUUGUCCGGAAUCAUUGGGCGUAAAGGGCGCGUAGGUGGCCCGGUCAGUCCGUGGUGAAAGCGCGGGGCUCAACCCUGCGUCGGCCAUGGAUACUGCCGCGGCUGGAGCACUGUAGAGGCAGGCGGAAUUCCGGGUGUAGCGGUGGAAUGCGUAGAGAUCCGGAAGAACACCGGUGGCGAAGGCGGCCUGACUGG